GGGGAAUAUUGCACAAUGGGCGAAAGCCUGAUGCAGCGACGCCGCGUGAGGGAUGAAGGCCUUCGGGUUGUAAACCUCUUUCAGUAGGGAAGAAGCGCAAGUGACGGUACCUACAGAAGAAGCACCGGCUAACUACGUGCCAGCAGCCGCGGUAAUACGUAGGGUGCGAGCGUUGUCCGGAAUUAUUGGGCGUAAAGAGCUUGUAGGCGGUUUGUCGCGUCUGCUGUGAAAAUCCGGGGCUCAACCCCGGACUUGCAGUGGGUACGGGCAGACUAGAGUGUGGUAGGGGAGACUGGAAUUCCUGGUGUAGCGGUGAAAUGCGCAGAUAUCAGGAGGAACACCGAUGGCGAAGGCAGGUCUCUGGGCAACUACUGACGCUGAGAAGCGAAAGCGUGGGGGGCGAAC
rnacentral:rRNA from 1 species